UGUUCAGUGGCUGAAUUGUAAAGCGCUUGGCUUCCGAACCGAGAGGUCCCGGGUUCGAAUCUCGCUGAAGAC
rnacentral:tRNA from 1 species